UUGACCUCGGAUCAGGUAGGGAUACCCGCUGAACUUAAGCAUAUAUAAAACCGGGAGGAA
rnacentral:rRNA from 1 species